AACGAACGCUGGCGGCAUGCCUAACACAUGCAAGUCGAACGAGACCUUCGGGUCUAGUGGCGUACGGGUGCGUAACGCGUGGGAACCUGCCCUUAGGUUCGGAAUAACUCUCCGAAAGGGGUGCUAAUACCGGAUAAUGUCUUCGGACCAAAGAUUUAUCGCCUUUGGAUGGGCCCGCGUUGGAUUAGCUAGUUGGUAGGGUAAAAGCCUACCAAGGCGACGAUCCAUAGCUGGUCUGAGAGGAUGGUCAGCCACACUGGGACUGAGACACGGCCCAGACUCCUACGGGAGGCAGCAGUGGGGAAUAUUGGACAAUGGGCGAAAGCCUGAUCCAGCAAUGCCGCGUAAGUGAUGAAGGCCUUAGGGUUGUAAAGCUCUUUUAACCGGGAUGAUAAUGACAGUACCGGGAGAAUAAGCUCCGGCUAACUCCGUG
rnacentral:rRNA from 1 species